UACGUAGGGACCAAGCGUUGUUCGGAUUUACUGGGCGUAAAGGGCGCGUAGGCGGCGCGGUAAGUCACUUGUGAAAUCUCUGAGCUUAACUCAGAACGGCCAAGUGAUACUGCAGUGCUAGAGUGUGGAAGGGGCAAUCGGAAUUCUUGGUGUAGCGGUGAAAUGCGUAGAUAUCAAGAGGAACACCUGAGGUGAAGACGGGUUGCUGACACCGA
rnacentral:rRNA from 1 species